CCGCAGCCAGCAGCCGCAACCCUCUAGGUCCCCUUCCAUGCUGUGGAAGCUUUGUUCUUUUGCCCUUUGCAAUCAAUCUUGCUGCUGCUUACUCUUUGGGGCCGCAGUACCUUUGUAAGCUGUAACACUCACCGCAAAGGUCUGCGGUUUCACUCCUGAAGCCAGUGAGACCACGAACCCACUGGGAGGAACGAACAACUCUGGACACACAGCCUUUAAGAGCUGUAACGCUCACUGCGAAGGUGUGCGGCUUCACUCCUGCAGUCAUCAAGACCACGAACCCACCAGAAGGAAGAAACUCUGGACACAUCUGAACAUCUGAAGGAACAAACUCCGGACACACCAUCUUUAAGAACUUUAACACUCACCGCAAGGGUCCACAGCGUCAUUCUUGAAGUCAGUGAGACCAAGAACCCACUGGAAGGAACUAAUUCUGGACACACUGUGAUCACAUCACUGUACUUCAGCCUGGGUGACACAGUGAGACCCUGUCUCUAAUUAAAAACAAAAAUUAGAAUAUUGCUCCUGUGCAAUAUCAAAUGCUUAGUGGAUCUAGGUGAUGAUUGUCAAUGACUGCUAAUAAUACAUGAAGAAACAACCACAUAUUAUAUACUACUAAUCUAUGGAAAUAAGGGAGGGAGAAAUACAUUGAGAAACACUGCAGGAAUGCUAUCAGAAAAGUCCAGAAUAUAAGAAAUUCUAUAUCAAAUAACAUUUUUCAACAAAAGAAACUGAGAGAAAAGAAAAAGAAAUGAAAGCACAAUUUGCAGGUUAAAAGAAGAGUCCUCAAGAAUCUGGGGAAGAGAACUGAAUGAAUGAGAGCUCGUGGCAGGAGGGAGAAUGUCCUCUGAACACUUCUCCUUGCUGCUGCCCUAUGAAGAAGGACAUGUUUGCUUCCCCUUCCCCCGUAAUUGUAAGUUUUCUGAGGCCUCCCCAGCCCUACAGAACGAGUUCAUGUUAUACUGGUGAUUCUUUCGUCUGUCUCAGAGAUGACAGCCUGCUAUACACCUUGUUGACCAAAAGCAACAUCAGGAUGAAGGCCCUGAUACACAGUGUUUGACUCUCUUGUCCUCUGACUUCUGCCACACACAAGGACACAGCGUUCAUCCCACUAAGAAGAAGAUGAAAAAGGGGAUAGCAUGCAGCCACAAGGAACAAUCUCAAAAGCAGAGAGAAGCCCUCACCAGACAACCACACCUGCAGACACCUUGAUCUUGAACUUCUCAGUGUCUAGAACUGUGAAAAAUAAAACUGUGGUCUUUAUAAAUUACCUGGUCUAAGGUACAAUCACAUGUCACUUAACAAUGUAGGG
rnacentral:lncRNA from 1 species